GAUGAACGCUGGCGGCGUGCCUAAUACAUGCAAGUCGAGCGAACAGACGCUGAGCUUGCUCCGCUGACGUUAGCGGCGGACGGGUGAGUAACACGUGGAUAACCUACCUAUAAGUCUGAGAUAACUUCGGGAAACCGGAUCUUAUACCGUAUAAUAUCUUGAACCGCAGGGUUCAUUAGUGAAAGACGGUUUUGCUGUCACUAAUAGAUGGUUCCGCGCCGCAUGAGCUAGUUGGUGAGCUAACGGCUUAUCAAGGCGACGAGGCGUAGGCGACCUGAGAGGCUGAUCGGCGACCCUGGAACUGAGACACGGUCCUGACUCCUACGAUAGGCAGCAGUAGGGUAUCUUCCGCAGUGGGCGGGAGCUUGACGGAACGGCGCCGCGUGAGAUAUAGAGGUGUUCGGAUCGUAAUGCUGUGUUAUUGGGGAAGAACAACUGUCUAAUGUGCUGUGCCCGUAUUGACGGUACCGAGUCAGAAAGCCCCGGCUAACUACGUG
rnacentral:rRNA from 1 species